UACGAAGGGGGCUAGCGUUGCUCGGAAUCACUGGGCGUAAAGGGCGCGUAGGCGGCCGAUCAAGUCAGAGGUGAAAGCCCAAGGCUCAACCUUGGAAUUGCCUUUGAUACUGUUCGGCUAGAGACCGGAAGAGGUAAGUGGAACUGCGAGUGUAGAGGUGAAAAUUCGUAGAUAUUCGCAAGAACACCAGUGGCGAAGGCGGC
rnacentral:rRNA from 1 species